rnacentral:lncRNA from 1 species
GAAGACUUAGAAACUUCUCAUUGGCUUUCACAUUAAAUAUAAUCCCCAUAAUGAUAUAACACAUGCAUAGAAAAAAUCCCAAUUGAUAGAGCAUCUUCCCUUUCUUCACUCGUGCAAGCUCUUCCUUUAAAAGUCCAUUUUUCGCCUUUUGCGCCUUCAUUUUAGCUAUCAGUGAGCUUACAUAAUCGUCGUUGCAUCUGGAUUGGCUUGACUCCGAUAGUGCUUGAUUUCUUUCAAGCAGUUCGACUAUCAUGUCCCUCGCUUGAUCCGGUAUUUUUUGGUCAACCCACAUGAAGAAAUUGCAGCAACCUGGACCAUCAAACUUAGCACAUCCAUAGAACCUUCUUC